GCAAGGUCUCGCUCUGUCACCCAGGCUACAGUUCAGUGGUCUGAUCACAGCUCACUGCAGCCUCAACCUCCUGGGCCCAAGCAAUCCUUCCACCCCAGCCUCCUGAGGAGCUGAGACCACAGGGAACAGAAAUGAACUGAAAUCAAGAAACAGAAGGGCCAAGGAAAGAAGUCCAUUUGAAUGUAUCAACAUGCAGGUUUAUUAAUUAUUCCCUGAAUAAUCAACAACUAAACCAUUCUGCAUUGCUUGGCUAUUGAAUAUGAUCAAACCUAUAUUUAUCAUUUGGAACUGAAGUUCAAUGUCUUAUACAAGCUUUGUUUGCUCAUGACUAUUCCGUCACCAUUUAUAGAAAGUAUAGUUUUUCAAAAGUGUGAAGAAUCCACCAGCUUUCUGAUCUUUGUGACUCCUCUUAAAGAAAUAAAUAACAACCAGACACAGGACCCCUCCUAUCUGGAUGGGAUCAAGUUAAAUGUCAUCCGUGGGUCAGAGGAGACAACCUAGGAAACCACCACCCAACAGUUUCCUUUAUUUUCCAUGACUGAACACUAGAAAAUUCCCAAAUCCUUCCACUACAAAGAGAAAAGAGUUGUAAAUCAACAGAACGGAAGAGAAACAAAAAGGCAUUUCCUCUAUCUUUAACAAAGGGAACUUAGAGUUAUCAAGAGAAGGAACACGACUUUCUACUUAGCUCCAUAAUUUUCAUUCUAAUGUUAUUAAAAAGAAGUCAUCAUUGGUACAUGGAAGGAUAAAUCUAUAUUUUAAAGUCCCUCUUUUCUGUUGUUGGUCACAAAAGGCAACAAAGAAGCAUCUAAUAAAUAGAAUCUCUUAUUUGAAACAUUGGAAAAAGGAUGCCAGCUCCUGGAAAAUACCUUGCCCAUCAGUAAAGAAAUCGGUCCACAGGGAAUAAAAAUGGAAUGGAGAGCUCUCCAAUGCUGCCCUAUGGGGAGAAAUAAAAGGGGUCUCCACAUGUGGACUUCAUAAAAACUUUGAUAUAAAAGAAAUCUAUUAUCAAAAGUACACGGUAACCCCAGCAAGUGUUCUGUUUAAUCUUUGCACAGAGGAUUUAGGGCCUGCAAAGUGCAAGAGGCAUGAUGCAUUGGCCAUUUUAGUAUUCAUGUCUCCUGUACUGCUUUCUAAUAAGUUAAGAUGAAACGGGAGACUGCGUGCAGGAGUGAGAGAUGCAAGAAAAGCAGUACUGAGAAAUAAAGAUGAACAAAAGUGCAUCUUGACUUCCCUUUUAUUAUUAACAGGCGAGAGAACAACAAUGCCAAACUUAUAAUGUUAUUACUUAACACUUCACAUUUACAAAAAGACGUUGCAGUCAUUUUUACAUGUUAUUUCUCAAUAUUUUUCUGAUAGAGGCUUUUCUUAUAAUCAGUUUUUAUGAUGAUAUAUGAAAUGAUUUUUCCAAAAAGGAAGAUAAACAUGCAGUCUGUGCCAGCAUGUUACCAAAACAAUCUUUUUGGUGAGAAUAAUUGUUUCCUUUACUGUUUGGGUAGGACAAACAACUGGUUGGCCGACUAUUUGAAUGUUGUUUUCUUCGUGUUAUAUAGACCCACUUUUUCACUCCUACUCCCCUCCACUCCAUUCAACUCACUAUUACUUAAGUGUACCCCUUACAUCGUAUUUCUGAAAUAUAAAUAACAUAAUAGGAUAAGAUCUAAAGAAAACUAGCCUUCCUCUUAAUUCUUCUGUGAUAUAAGGUGUGUAAAUGGAGUGGCACCCAUGAGUGAGUAUCUGUGCACCUGCCUGUAGGCUGGCCUCUUUCUAAGAGGAGCAUGUCUGUGAGGCACACUGAGAAAUGUUUGCUCAACAUAAGUGGGCAAAGUAUGCUGAGAUUCAGAAACUCCAUCUACCUCAUGUUUUAGGUGUCUGCUAGUUAGUUUGCAUGGAGAAAGUCAUUCAAUAAAUAAGUAGACCCCAAACCAGGGGACUGUCUCCUACCUUUAACUGUCAUCCUCACCUCCAUGACAAACUAGUUUGGUAUUUCUUCUGGGGCAAAAGAAUGGCAGUGGAAAGUUCUCCAAUCCCUUAGGCUUUAUUAGAUUUGGGAAGAAUCUGGGAUUCUGAUGAGAAAGAUUUCUUCAUUUAUUAUUAGAUGGCCCAAAGCAUAGCAAUCUGUCAGUUGCCUCUUUCUGUUUUGCAGAAUAAGGUAUCUUAACAAAAAAAAAAAACCAAGCAGAAAUUAUCUAGGUAAACUUUCUACAUUUCUUCAACAAAUGUAAAAAAUAUGCCUUUACUUGGGGCCAUAUAGUCAUAGUCUAGCAGGUAAUAAACUAUAUAUUUUUAAGUACAAGUUCCAGUGAAAUGAACAUUGUUAAGUAGAGUAAACAUUUAUUUCAAAGCCAUAAGUAUGUCUGAGUAUUGAAAAAGGGUUCAAGAUCUUUAAAUAUGUUCCCAUUAUAAGAACUUUGCACACACACACACACACACACACACACACAUUUAUUUCCUUCAACUUCAAAUCUAAUAAAUAGAGUCAAUAGAUAGAUACCCUUUUCUCUUUACUUCUUAAUCUAUAGAUUAUUAAAUCUAACAUGUGAAAACUAUGGAGAAUAUGCUCCCUACUCUCGGGCAGUGGAUUGAAGUGGUAUGUCUGUUGCAGUGUUACUUGUCUGCAUGGAGAGCUUGCAUUGAUUGACUGAUGCCUCUAGGUGUAAAGGUACAGUCCUUAUGCUAAUGUUGAUAGUGAUGUUACAGUAAUAGCAAUAGUACCUGCAACUUUUUGAGUGCAUUCUAUGUGCUAGAUGAUUUAUAAACACAAUUUUUAUUUUAAAAAUACUACAGUGACUUUCACAAAAUUAAGAAACCAUGACUCCAAAUAUUUAUAUGAUUUUCUCAAGGUCCUGGAUCUGGGUUUGCAACCAAGUCUGUCUGAUUCAAAGUUCAUGUUUUCUUCCUACAUCCCUCCAAGCAGAGCGUUAAUUCAGGCAAUGUGAAAACUUGAAGUAAGGUGACCAUAUGUUCCAGUCUAUACCUGUUGUCCUGGCAUAAUUAAUAGAUUCCCCUUUCAUGCUUGAAAAUGCCCCAGUGUGGACAAUGUUUAACAAUCAACCUAUCUUUGAGCAAGGUUUAAAAUCCACAUAAGACUUUUCUAAGGUAUUGUUCACAAUGCUUUAAUUCAUCUUUUUGUCUUUACUGAAGGGUGUCAAACAAGUAACAAAUUGGACCUAGCUUUUUGUAUUUGGGAAAACAAAUGGAUUUAUGAAUGAAUAUCAUUUACUGGUUGGGUGUAUUAUCACUCUGUCAUUUCUCUUUGAGAAUCUUUUGUCCUUCCUCUUUUCUCUCUCCUCCUCCUAGUCUCCAUGUUUCUUUCUAUCCAGGCUUUCACUAUUGGUCAAGUAUUAAAAAAUAAAUUCCUUGGUUUUGCUUUAGCUUUUGUUUCUGACAAACCUUUAAAAUUCAGCUUGGCCACUCACUCCGAUGUUUAAACCACUACUAAUGGUAUUUUUGUCAAAAGAGAA
rnacentral:lncRNA from 10 species